UACGUAGGUGGUAAGCGUUGUCCGGAUUUACUGGGUGUAAAGGGCGCGUAGGCGGGAUGGCAAGUCAGAUGUGAAAUCUCCGGGCUCAACAUGGAAACUGCAUUUGAAACUGUCGUUCUUGAGUAUCGGAGAGGCAAGCGGAAUUCCUAGUGUAGCGGUGAAAUGCGUGGAUAUUAAGAGGAACACCAGUGGCGAAGGCGGCUUGCUGGACGACAACUGACGCUGAGGCGCGAAAGCGUGGGGAGCAAAC
rnacentral:rRNA from 1 species